rnacentral:rRNA from 1 species
GACGAACGCUGGCGGCGUGCCUAAUACAUGCAAGUAGAACGCUGAAGGAGGAGCUUGCUCUUCUGGAUGAGUUGCGAACGGGUGAGUAACGCGUAGGUAACCUGCCUGGUAGCGGGGGAUAACUAUUGGAAACGAUAGCUAAUACCGCAUAACAGUAGAUGUUGCAUGACAUUUACUUAAAAGGUGCAAUUGCAUCACUACCAGAUGGACCUGCGUUGUAUUAGCUAGUUGGUGGGGUAACGGCUCACCAAGGCGACGAUACAUAGCCGACCUGAGAGGGGGAUCGGCCACACUGGGACUGUGACACGGCCCAGACUCCUUCGGGAGGCAGCAGUAGGGAAUCUUCGGCAAUGGACGGAAGUCUGACCGAGCAACGCCGCGUGAGUGAAGAAGGUUUUCGGAUCGUAAAGCUCUGUUGUAAGGGAAGAACGAGUGUGAGAGUGGAAAGUUCACACUGUGACGGUAUCUUACCAGAAAGGGACGGCUAACUACGUG